AUACCACUUGGAAACAGGUGCUAAUACCGGAUAACAGCAUGAAUCGCAUGAUUCAAGUUUGAAAGGCGGCGCAAGCUGUCACUUUAGGAUGAGCCCGCGGCGCAUUAGCUAGUUGGUGGGGUAAAGGCCUACCAAGGCAAUGAUGCGUAGCCGAGUUGAGAGACUGAUCGGCCACAUUGGGACUGAGACACGGCCCAAACUCCUACGGGAGGCAGCAGUAGGGAAUCUUCCACAAUGGACGCAAGUCUGAUGGAGCAACGCCGCGUGAGUGAAGAAGGUCUUCGGAUCGUAAAGCUCUGUUGUUGGUGAAGAAGGAUAGAGGCAGUAACUGGUC
rnacentral:rRNA from 1 species